rnacentral:rRNA from 1 species
AUUGAACGCUGGCGGCAUGCCUUACACAUGCAAGUCGAACGGCAGCACGGGAGCAAUCCUGGUGGCGAGUGGCGAACGGGUGAGUAAAGUAUCGGAACGUGCCCAGUCGUGGGGGAUAACGUAGCGAAAGUUACGCUAAUAGCGCAUACGAUCUAUGGAUGAAAGCGGGGGAUCGCAAGACCUCGCGCGAUUGGAGCCGCCGAUAUCAGAUUAGGGAGUUGGUGGGGGAAAGGCUCACCAAGCGGACGAUCGGUAGCUGGUCUGAGAGGACGACCAGCCACACUGUGACUGUGACACGGCCCAGACUCCUACGGGAGGCAGCAGUGGGGAAUUUUGGACAAUGGGCGCAAGCCUGAUCCAGCCAUGCCGCGUGCAGGAUGAAGGCCUUCGGGUUGUAAACUGCUUUUGUACGGAACGAAAAGGUUUGACUUAAUACAUUGGACUAAUGACGGUACCGUAGGAAUAAGCACCGGCUAACUACGUGCCAGCCGCCGCGGUAA